rnacentral:rRNA from 1 species
UACCACUGGAAGUGACGCGGGAAAAGCUCCAUUUAAAAUCUGGCCCCUUUGGCUGUCCGAGUUGUAGUCUGGAGAAGCGUUUUCCGCGUUGGACCGUGUAUAAGUCUCUUGGAACAGAGCGUCAUAGAGGGUGAGAAUCCCGUCUUUGACACGGACUACCAAUGCUUUGUGAUGCGCUCUCAAAGAGUCGAGUUGUUUGGGAAUGCAGCUCAAAAUGGGUGGUAAAUUCCAUCUAAAGCUAAAUAUUGGCGAGAGACCGAUAGCGAACAAGUACCGUGAGGGAAAGAUGAAAAGCACUUUGGAAAGAGAGUUAAACAGUACGUGAAAUUGCUGAAAGGGAAACGCUUGAAGUCAGUCGCGUCGUUCAGAACUCAACCUGGCUUUUGCUUGGUGUAAUUUCUGCGCGACGGGCCAGCAUCAAUUUUGAUCAUUGGAAAAAGUCCAGAGGAAUGUGGCACCUUCGGGUGUGUUAUAGCCUUUGGUCGUAUACAAUGGUUGGGAUUGAGGAUCUCAGCACGCCUUUAUGGUCGGGGUUCGCCCACGUUCGUGCUUAGGAUGCUGGCGUAAUGGCUUUAAACGACCCGUCUUGAAACACGGACCAAGGAGUCUAACAUGCCUGCGAGUGUUUGGGUGGAAAACCCGAGCGCGUAAUGAAAGUGAAAGUUGGGAUCUCUGUCAUGGAGAGCACCGACGCCCGGACCAGACCUUUUGUGACGGUUCCGCGGUAGAGCAUGUAUGUUGGGACCCGAAAGAUGGUGAACUAUGCCUGAAUAGGGUGAAGCCAGAGGAAACUCUGGUGGAGGCUCGUAGCGAUUCUGACGUGCAAAUCGAUCGUCAAUUUGGGUAUAGGGGCGAAAGACUAAUCGAACCAUCUAGUAGCUGGUUCCCUGCCGAAGUU